rnacentral:rRNA from 1 species
UACGUAGGGUGCGAGCGUUAAUCGGAAUUACUGGGCGUAAAGCGUGCGCAGGCGGCUUCGCAAGUCAGACGUGAAAUCCCCGGGCUUAACCUGGGAAUGGCGUUUGAAACUACGGAGCUGGAGUAUGGCAGAGGGGGGUGGAAUUCCACGUGUAGCGGUGAAAUUCGUAGAUAUUGGGUGGAACACCGGUGGCGAAAGCGGCUCUCUGGUCCGGACCUGACGCUGAGGCGCGAAAGCGUGGGGAGCAAACAGG